UACGGAGGGUGCAAGCGUUAUCCGGAUUCACUGGGUUUAAAGGGUGCGUAGGCGGGCAGGUAAGUCAGUGGUGAAAUCUCCGGGCUUAACCCGGAAACUGCCGUUGAUACUAUUUGUCUUGAAUAUUGUGGAGGUGAGCGGAAUAUGUCAUGUAGCGGUGAAAUGCUUAGAUAUGACAUAGAACACCCAUUGCGAAGGCAGCUCACUACACAAUGAUUGACGCUGAGGCACGAAAGCGUGGGGAUCAAACAGG
rnacentral:rRNA from 1 species